UACGUAGGGUGCGAGCGUUUGUCCGGAAUUAUUGGGCGUAAAGGGCUCGUAGGCGGUCUGUCGCGUCGGGAGUGAAAAACUCAGGGCUUAACCCUGAGCUGCUCCGAUACGGGCAGACUAGAGGUAUGCAGGGGAGAACGGAAUUCCUGGUGUAGCGGUGAAAUGCGCAGAUAUCAGGAGGAACACCGGUGGCGAAGGCGGUUCUCUGGGCAUUACCUGACGCUGAGGAGCGAAAGUGUGGGGAGCGAACAGG
rnacentral:rRNA from 1 species